CAUUAGAAGUUCAGAGAGCAAUACCCAUUUUAAAGAAAGCAUAUGGCGACAGCAUGCACAAAGUUUUGCAUGUGGGCCCUGAUACAUGUUCAGUGGUCUCUCAACUGUUGAAAGAAGAAGAAACUGAAGUUUGGGGUGUUGAACCAUAUGAUAUAGAGGAUGCAGAUGCAAAAUGCAAGAGUGCUAUUCGCAAGGGCAUUGUCCGUGUAGCUGAUAUUAAGUUCCCUCUGCC
rnacentral:misc_RNA from 1 species